rnacentral:rRNA from 1 species
GGUGUAAAGCGCGUGCAGGCGGUUCGGUAAGUUGGAUGUGAAAGCUCCUGGCUUAACUGGGAGAGGUCGUUCAAUACUGCCGGGCUAGAGGAUGGGAGAGGGAGGUGGAAUUCCGGGUGUAGUGGUGAAAUGCGUAGAUAUCCGGAGGAACACCAGUGGCGAAGGCGGCCUCCUGGCCCAUUUCUGACGCUCAGACGCGAAAGCUAGGGGAGCGAACGGGAUUAGAGACCCCGGUAGUCCUAGCCGUAAACGAUGUGAACUUGGCGUCGGCGGGUUUAAAUCCGUCGGUGCCGCAGCUAACGCGAUAAGUUCACCACCUGAGUACUACGGCCGCAAGGUUAAAACUCAAAGGAAUUGACGGGUCCCCGCACAAGCAGCGGAGCGUGUGGUUUAAUUCGUUGCUACACGAAGAACCUUACCAGGGUUUGACAUACAGGUGGUAGUGAAGCGAAAGCAGAACGACCCUUCGGGGAGCCUGUACAGGUGUUGCAUGGCUGUCGUCAGCUCGUGUCGUGAGAUGUUCGGUUAAGUCCGCUAACGAGCGCAACCCUCGCUGUGUGUUACAUGUGUCACACGGGACUGCCGGUGUCAAGCCGGAGGAAGGUGGGGAUGACGUCAAGUCAGCAUGACCUUUAUAUCCUGGGCUACACACACGCUACAAUGGUCGGCACAAUGGGUCGCUAAGCCGCGAGGUAGAGCCAAUCCUCAAAGUCGGCCUCAGUUCAGAUCGCAGGCUGCAACUCGCCUGCGUGAAGCCGGAGUUGCUAGUAACCGCAGGUCAGCUAUACUGCGGUGAAUACGUUCCCGGGGGUUGCACACACCGCCCGUCAAG